rnacentral:tRNA from 1 species
GCCGCCUAAGCAUUGAUGGUGAUGCAGCUCGCUCGUAACGAGACUACACAUACACAGGGUUCGAAUCCUUGAGGCGGCACCA